rnacentral:rRNA from 1 species
UACGUAGGGUGCAAGCGUUGUCCGGAAUUAUUGGGCGUAAAGAGCUCGUAGGCGGUCUGUUACGUCGGCUGUGAAAACCUGGGGCUCAACCCCGGGCCCUGCAGCCGAUACGGGCAGACUAGAAUUCGGUAGGGGAGACUGGAAUUCCUGGUGUAGCGGUGGAAUGCGCAGAUAUCAGGAGGAACACCGGUGGCGAAGGCGGGUCUCUGGGCCGACAUUGACGCUGAGGAGCGAAAGCGUGGGGAGCGAACAGG